GCGGGUGUGGUGAAAUUGGUAGACACGCUAGAUUUAGGAUCUAGUGCCGCGAGGCUUGGGGGUUCGAGUCCCUUCACCCGCACAA
rnacentral:tRNA from 2 species